UGUCCACAGUGAGACAAACUGUCUAUAAAUGGAGAUGAUUUAGUACUAUAGGUACUCUCACUAGAAGUGUCCGUUAGAUAUUCAUCUGUCCACAGUUAGACAAACUGUCUAUAAAUGGAGAUGAUUUAGUACUAUAGGUACUCUCACUAGAAGUGGCCGUUAGAUAUUCAUCUGUCCACAGUGAGACAAACUGUCUAUAAAUGGAGAUGAUUUAGUACUAUAGGUACUCUCUCUAGAAGUGGCCGUUAGAUAUUCAUCUGUCCACAGUUAGACAAACUGUCUAUAAAUGGAGAUGAUUUAGUACUAUAGGUACUCUCACUAGAAGUGGCCGUUAGAUAUUCAUCUGUCCACAGUGAGACAAACUGUCUAUAAAUGGAGAUGAUUUAGUACUAUAGGUACUCUCACUAGAAGUGGCCGUUAGAUAUUCAUCUGUCCACAGUGAGACAAACUGUCUAUAAAUGGAGAUGAUUUAGUACUAUAGGUACUCUCUCUAGAAGUGGCCGUUAGAUAUUCAUCUGUCCACAGUUAGACAAACUGUCUAUAAAUGGAGAUGAUUUAGUACUAUAGGUACUCUCACUAGAAGUGGCCGUUAGAUAUUCAUCUGUCCACAGUGAGACAAACUGUCUAUAAAUGGAGAUGAUUUAGUACUAUAGGUACUCUCACUAGAAGUGGCCGUUAGAUAUUCAUCUGUCCACAGUGAGACAAACUGUCUAUAAAUGGAGAUGAUUUAGUACUAUAGGUACUCUCUCUAGAAGUGGCCGUUAGAUAUUCAUCUGUUCACAGUGAGACAAACUGUCUAUAAAUGGAGAUGAUUUAGUACUAUAGGUACUCUCUCUAGAAGUGGCCGUUAGAUAUUCAUCUGUUCACAGUUAGACAAACUGUCUAUAAAUGGAGAUGAUUUAGUACUAUAGGUACUCUCUCUAGAAGUGGCCGUUAGAUAUUCAUCUGUUCACAGUUAGACAAACUGUCUAUAAAUGGAGAUGAUUUAGUACUAUAGGUACUCUCACUAGAAGUGGCCGUUAGAUAUUCAUCUGUCCACAGUUAGACAAACUGUCUAUAAAUGGAGAUGAUUUAGUACUAUAGGUACUCUCUCUAGAAGUGGCCGUUAGAUAUUCAUCUGUCCACAGUGAGACAAACUGUCUAUAAAUGGAGAUGAUUUAG